UUUUAUAAAUGAAAAUCCAUCAUGGAAAUUAAAAUCUAUUCAACCCAAAAUAAUUGAAAUUCACGCAGAUCGUUUCUCUCUGAUUCAACCCAAAAUCUAUUCAACCCAUAAUCCUUUUUAAAAUCUCUGCAAAUGUUAUACAGCAAUAUUCUGUUUUUCUCUUGUCGGUUGUGUGCAGAUACUUCUCACAAUUGUUCUCAUCUUUACAUUCAGAUUCAUAACACCCACUUUAUAAUUGAAACAACACAGAUGCACUCAAAAUCAAUUCUUUCAUAAGAAAUCAAAAUGGCAUAUGUAAUAUGUAUGCAUAUGCUCAUCUAUACAGAAGCAAUUAGAAAACCUAUAAUGACAUAAAAGGGUAUUUGAGGUGAGUUGUUG
rnacentral:lncRNA from 1 species